GGUAAACAUUGAGCACAGCGUCUUUGAGAGGUAAACAAGGGAGUGCAGUGUCUUUAUGAGGUGAACAUGGGAGUCCAGUGUCAUGUCGUUGAGCUUGUCCAUACGAGGAUUUCAUUACCAUUCUAAAAGUGUUAUCAGACUUCAUUGCCUCCUUCUUCACCAACCUAUGAUCGAUCAGCCUAAUAAAUGUCUCAAAACUGAUCAGAUGUGCUCACCUUACCAAACAUUUACUGAAACUGAUAUUUUAGUUCUCAUCACCUUACUUUCUGGCGCUAAGACUCACGCCCUGCUCUCCUGCCCUCCACUGCUCGCCCCGGGCUCUCCGGCCGCCACCGCCUGCCCCGCCCGCGCUUCGCCACCCCAGCCUCCCGCACCAGACGCCGGCUGCUCCUGCGCUCCCACGCCCGCGCACCGCGCUCUCCCAGCCCCGCGCUCCCACACCCGGCGCGGAGGAGGCGGGCGCCCGGGGCGAGGGCAGGGCAGCCACGUCAGCGGCGCCGGCUCGCUCCGCCCUCCGCGGGCCUCCCCAUAGAAGGAGCAGAGCAUAAAGAAGGCAUAAACAACAGGGCCCAUAGGAUUUAAGUGAUUCACUGGAGGCUGUGAGCCAGAAAGUGGCAGAGUGACGUUCGGUCUAGUUCUCCGGAGUGCAGCUUCCUGGUCCCUGCUCGGCAGCCUUCUGGUUCUUUUGGACUGGUAAAGGCAUCUGAACAGGGGUACUCAUCUCAUCUCUGCAGACAGAGCAUGCAUCUUGGCUUCCACUAGGAGUUUCAGAUGAUCUUAAACUCUGCCAGCCCCAAAUUCCAAGCAGCUGAAGAUAUCUAGUCAUUGAAAAUAAAAGCAGUCAUGAUACCUGUCACUU
ensembl:antisense jun proto-oncogene, opposite strand